AAACUUACCGAACGAUCGUAGACAAACGUGGAGUGACAUGAGACAGAGUGGGAAAACAAAAUUCAAGAAGAUGAAAGGUGAAAGAGAGCACAAAUUCGGCAACAAUGAAGAGAAAAAUGACAAGAGGGUGGAGGUAUUUUGGGGAAAGUAAAAAAAAGAAAAAAAAUAUGAACAAAAUAUUUGAUAACCACCCCAAUCCCCUAUUCCUCUCCAUCAAACUCCC
rnacentral:lncRNA from 1 species